rnacentral:lncRNA from 10 species
AUCAAGCUAAACAGUAGUCACUGGGUUCCACGGUUCUCUUCCGUGACCCACGGCUUCUGACAGAGCUAUAACACUCACCACAUGGCCCAAGAUUCCAUUCCUUGGAAUCUGUGAGGCCAAGAACCCCAGGUUAGAGAACCUGAGGCUUGCCACCAUCUUAGAAGCGGCUUGCCACCAUCUUGGAAGUGGCUCGCCACCAUUUUGGCAACCAGGAAGGGACCUCCAAAGCGGGAGAAAGCAUUUAUGGUGAGGAGAAAAGCAGCUGGUAUCACACUCUACCCAAGUCCCAAAAGCAGGUUCACAUAACUCCUGUCUUCAUUAUCUGAUAUCCGUAUGAAGAAUGUAAGAUAGAAAAAAACAUUAGCAUUUGAGAGGAUUGAAAGAGAAGCAUUCUCAGCAGAGCCAAGAUUCACUUAGAACAAAAGGUCUGCAGGUGUACCCAACAGCUCCGAAGAGACAGCGACCAUCAAGAACAGGCCAAGAUGACGAUGGCAGUUUUGUCGAAAAGAGAAGGGGGAAAUGUGGGGAAAAGCAAGAGAGAUCAGAUUGUUACUGUGUCUGUGUAGAAAGAAGUAGACAUAGGAGACUCCAUUUUCUUAUGUACUAGGAGAAAUUCUUCUGCCUUGAGAUUCUGUUAAUCUAUGACCUUACCUCCAACCCCGUGCUCUCUGAAACAUGUGCUGUGUCAACUCAGAGUUGAAUGGAUUAAGGGCAGUGCAAGAUGUGCUUUGUUAAACAGAUGCUUGAAGGCAGCAUGCUCCUUAAGAGUCAUCACCAGGACUUUCUUAUAAGCUAAUUAACAAAUUUGUACAUGGUUAACAAUUGUUUACAUUAAAUUCUAUUGGUAAAGUAA